GUGCUCACUUUGACAGCUCAUCUACUAAAACUGGGAUGAUACAGAGAUGAUUAGUGUGUUCCCUGUGCCAGGAAGACAUGUAAAUUUAUAAAGUUGAAGAUUUGG
ensembl:snRNA U6 U6 spliceosomal RNA